UGCAAAUGGAACUGCUGGGAAAGAUUUGGUUUUGGGAAUCACGAUCUCCAGUUUCAUGAAAGAUAACUUCUGGCAAGAGAUGGGCUGCAUCUCAUAGCAGUUGGGCAGAAUCGAUUUGUUCCAAGUUGCAAAACCACAGAUCAGGAGGGCUUCAAAUUGAAUCUGAGGCUCCUGUCUUUUCCUUUUGUUUUUUUCCAGACCCUAGCAAGAUACUUCAGCACCUACUGAGAAACCAGGAGCACAGACCAUGGUUAUCCCUGGCAAUUCAUGGCACUUGGAGAAAGUGCACAGUGGACCCCAUCCCCAGCAAACACGGAGAGGCUGACAGUAAAGAUGCAGGACUUCUGUCAACCUUAAUAGAACACAUUAUUUUCAUUGGGUCCUUCCAAUGACUGUAAGACAAGUAUACAAAGUACUAAUUUGAAAGCUUCAUUGUGCUCCUAUAUGCAAACCAAUUUCAUCAAACAUCUAAUGGGGCUAACCAACAGGUGUAACCAACAAAGGGAAAAGGUUUGUGUGAGCUGAUUCAAAUAGGGUAACACUACUUUGCUGAUGUUGCAUGCCUUCAAGUUUUUUUCUGUUUCUAGGUGAUCCUAUUAUAGGCUUUUUCGGGCAAGAUUUGUUCAGAUGGGGUUUGCCCUUGCCUUGCUCUGAGGCUGAGAGAGUGUAUGUUGCAGAAGUUCACCAAGUGGGUUUCCAUGUUUCCAUGGCCGAGCUGGGAUUCUACCUCUGGUCUUGAGAGUCCAAGUCCAAUGCUCUGACCACUGCAAUAUGCUGGUGCUUUGUGCAGCUCUAAUUACCAUGUAAUUAAUUUUCAUUUAUGAACUCAAGGUAAGAGGAAAUAGAAAUGUCUUCUGCCUGGCCAUUUCUGUUGUGUUCUUUACCCAUGAUUCCUUUGUGCCUAGCUCUGCAGUUCCUUUUAAACCAAAAGCUGAUACAAACAUCAGGUAUGGGAAGCUUUUCCAUAAAAAAUAUCUCCACAGACCACUAGACAGUGAUACUAGUAACAUCUGGCUAGAGAGCAAUAACCUGAAAGACAGCCAAUAAAUAAAUAAGGAUUGCAUUCAGAGUUUAGCUUCUCACUCCUGUAACUACCAGCCAGUACAAAGUUCACUGGAAGGUGAGCCCAAUCUGAGUAAUGCUUAUUGUUUGCCUGUGACUGCUUAGGUGGAACUGGUUUGUAUAUCCUGUACAUGCAUGGUUUAGAGAAAGGCAUGGAUACAUUUGAGACUUGACCAUAUUCGGUCAUAAUUUGGCUGGCUGGAUAAAGAGAGCCCAAGUGUUAAAAUGCUAACGGAUCUCAGGUGGUGGAAUUUUCUCUUUCCUGUUAGUUAAUUUGGCCCCUCUCUGUAGUUUUUCAUUGCUAAACAAAGGGCUUGCCUACUCUGUGGAAAAAAUCUUCUAUUUCACACUGCAUUUUCCUGAUCUGUAUUGACCUCAAAAUGGCCUUCUUAAUGCCACACAUAUUGUGGUAAGAUCGCCAUAACUGGUCGCAUGUUUUCCCCGGCAAACUCACCUCAGUGCAAAGUGGUGAUCAACAAUAUUCAGUCCUUCACAUUAGUUUUGACCACAUGGCUGUGGCUACUCUCCAUCAUGCAUGUGAAUAUAUGGUGUGAUUUCAGCUCCAUUGAAUCGUUGAUUCGAAAACCCGACAUGCCCCAGCUACUUACAGAAGACCAAAUCAGGACACAAGCAGAUAGAAGGCAAAAGCAGAGGUCUUUAAUUCUCAGUGACCAAAGAGGAUAUCAGCAGAGCUAGCGCUCAAAGUACUAAAAUACCCCAACUGUGACACCUGAGUCAUUUAUAAUAAUACAAAAUAACUAAAAAAUUGCUGUGCUGGCUUCCCAUUUGUCUUGUAAAGUGCUGGCUAAGAUUCUCACUUUCACUGGAAAAGGCAUGCGUCUGCUUCUGCCUCCCAGAGCCAACCAGAGGUGAAGAGGGAAAUUUAAUAAAUUGUUAUUGCUCAGUUUAGUUUUUUGUCUGUUGUGGGUCCUUCCCAAAAAUUGGGUGCCUUGGACUGGAAUGCAGUUUGAUGAGUGGUUGGUGGGUCCUGAUGGUCCAAUGCCAGCUAGACAAAGUGCAGUGAAUUCGAAGAGGCACAAAUGGAGGGCAAAAGGGAGAAACGUGCCAAGAGGAAGGUGCAUCAAGCCAACCGGGACCGGGACCACCUUCCAUCUGGAAUCUGAUGCCCUCACUGUGGAAGAACACGCGGGUCAAGAAUAGGACUCCACAGUCACCUACGUACCCACCACCAAGACACUACACUUGGAAAACCAUUAUACUCGGACAACGAGGGAUUGCCUAAGUAAGUAAGUAGGACAAAGGAGGUGCUGGUUGAUGGGCAAAAGGUGCAGUUACAUACAAUGGAGGAUUCCUUGAAGGGGUCCGGAUAGGUGCUAUAGAUGAAUCAGGUUCCCAGGUAGAGGACAAAAGAGGGAAUUGGGCAUCUUCUAUAACCUCUGGUUUGCUCCAUUGUUAGGUGUGUGGGGGCAUUGUUAGAUGAUUAUGGUGAUCUAGGGCAUUGUUCCUUGGAGUUCAAGGUGUGAUGAAGCAACAUUCUAAUGAAAUU